rnacentral:rRNA from 1 species
GAUGAACGCUGGCGGCGUGCCUAAUACAUGCAAGUCGAGCGAACAGACGAGGAGCUUGCUCCUCUGACGUUAGCGGUGGACGGGUGAGUAACACGUGGAUAACCUACCUAUAAGACUGGGAUAACUUCGGGAAACCGGAGCUAAUACCGGAUAACAUGCUGAACCGCAUGGUUCAACAGUGAAAGACGGUCUUGCUGUCACUUAUAGAUGGAUCCGCGCCGCAUUAGCUAGUUGGUAAGGUAACGGCUUACCAAGGCAACGAUGCGUAGCCGACCUGAGAGGGUGAUCGGCGACACUGGAACUGAGACACGGUCCAGACGACUACGGGACGGCGCAGUAGGGAAUGUUCCGCAGUAGGGGAGAGCAUGGCGGAAUAGCGGCACGUGAGAGAAGGAGAUCUUGGGAUCGGGAAGCUCUGUUAUUAGGGGAAAACCAAUGUGGAAGUAGCUAUGCAGGGCUUGACGGUAACUAAUCAGGAAGCCACGGCUAACUACGUG